CACCGCGGUUAAACGAGAGGCCCUAGUUGAUAAUACACGGCGUAAAGGGUGGUUAAGGAAAGUAAAACAAUAAAGCCGAAUGGCCCUUUGGCUGUCAUACGCUUCUAGGUGUCCGAAGACCAAUUAUACGAAAGUAGCUUUAAGAAAGCCCACCUGACCCCACGAAAGCUGAGGAA
rnacentral:rRNA from 1 species